rnacentral:lncRNA from 1 species
GAAAAACUCCCAAAGAACGGAGACGUUUUGUUGUUAUUUGUAUUUUGCUUCUGCUGACCGCCUUCAAAAAUCCUCAAUAAAGUCUCAACUCCAUCGUCGCGGUAAAUCCUCUCUGUGUCAAGUCCGCCAACGUACAUAGUGAGCUUCUGAACAAACUGGUAGCAGCCGAAAGCUGUCCAUACAGAGGGGGAGUGCUGGUAACAACAACAACAUGGGGUGCAGGACGAGACGAAAACGGGAACCAGUACCAUAUCCCUGCAACAGAAUUUCAGCUGGCUCUUGUGCUCUGGUGGCUCAGGCUUUGGCCAAAACAUCUUUACAGAAGGAAUAUUUAAUUGGUCUGGAUUCUCUCUUCUUCUCAUCAUGCUGUCCCAGCCAGCCCUAUCAUGCUCUCUUUGCAUGAGAUGUCUCCCCCUUCGGGCUUCAUAAAUAAACCAGUACUGGAAUGG